GUCUAGCCCGACAUUGCCUCUCAGAGCCAGGAGAGACCAGGAAGGAGAAGGAAUUUCCAAAGGACCGAGGGGAAGAAGCAGCAGUGCCUGGUACUACACUUGUUACUCUGCUGUCAUGCCCAGUCACCCUGAAUCUGAUAAAUCUACUGAAUGCAUUUGCCACAAGAAGCAUGGCUGGGCAUGCUAAGUCCUUCCAAAUUCUGGAUGGAGGUUACUGAGUCCCCGUCUCUGGAGUUUAUCAUUGCAGCUGUUCUGAGAUUCGCUCCCACUUUAAUUGUGACCUCUUCUCACACCCAAGACUCUGUUCCCUUUGGCCAACCCAUGGGAACUUGGAGGACCUUCAAUCAAGGUGUGACCUGGCCAAAGCAUUCAUGUUUCUGUUCUGGAUGUCAUGAUCUCACUGUGGUUUGCUGUCCCACGUUCAGCUGUGAGGAACA